rnacentral:rRNA from 1 species
GAUGAACGCUGGCGGCGUGCCUAAUACAUGCAAGUCGAGCGAACGGACGAGAAGCUUGCUUCUCUGAUGUUAGCGGCGGACGGGUGAGUAACACGUGGAUAACCUACCUAUAAGACUGGGAUAACUUCGGGAAACCGUAGCUAAUACCGGAUAAUAUUUUGAACCGCAUGGUUCAAAAGUGAAAGACGGUCUUGCUGUCACUUAUAGAUGGAUCCGCGCUGCAUUAGCUAGUUGGUAAGGUAACGGCUUACCAAGGCAACGAUGCAUAGCCGACCUGAGAGGGUGAUCGGCCACACUGGAACUGAGACACGGUCCCGAAUCCUACGGGAGGCAGCAGUAGGGAAUCUUCCGCAAUGGGCGAAAGCCUGACGGAGCAACGCCGCGUGAAUGAUGAAGGUCUUCGGAUCGUAAAACUCUGUUAUUAGGGAAGAACAUAUGUGUAAGUAACUGUGCACAUCUUGACGGUACCUAAUCAGAAAGCCACGGCUAACUACGUG